CCCAUCGUAGCUCAGCCUGGUAGCAGCGUCCGUUUGAAGAACGGAAGGCCGGUGGUUCAAGUCCACCCGAUGGGA
rnacentral:tRNA from 1 species